rnacentral:tRNA from 1 species
GCCCCGAUAGCUUAAGCUUAAAGCACUGGUCUUGUAAACCAAAGAUGGGGCGUAAGACCCCCUCAGGGCC